rnacentral:rRNA from 1 species
CCUACGGGAGGCUGCAGUGGGGAAUAUUGGACAAUGGGGGGAACCCUGAUCCAGCCAUGCCGCGUGUGUGAAGAAGGCCCUCGGGUUGUAAAGCACUUUCAGCGAGGAAGAACGCCUGGUGGUUAAUACCCAUCAGGAAAGACAUUACUCACAGAAGAAGCACCGGCUAACUCCGUGCCAGCAGCCGCGGUAAUACGGAGGGUGCGAGCGUUAAUCGGAAUUACUGGGCGUAAAGCGCGCGUAGGUGGCUUGAUAAGCCGGUUGUGAAAGCCCCGGGCUCAACCUGGGAACGGCAUCCGGAACUGUCAAGCUAGAGUGCAGGAGAGGAAGGUAGAAUUCCCGGUGUAGCGGUGAAAUGCGUAGAGAUCUGGAGGAAUACCAGUGGCGAAGGCGGCCUUCUGGACUGACACUGACACUGAGGUGCGAAAGCGUGGGUAGCAAACAGGAUUAGAUACCCUGGUAGUC